UACGUAGGGGGCGAGCGUUGCUCGGAAUCACUGGGCGUAAAGGGCGCGUAGGCGGGGAGGUAAGUCGGGUGUGAAAUCCCUCGGCCCAACUGAGGAACUGCGCCCGAGACUGCUUCUCUUGAGUCCCGGAGAGGAAGAUGGAAUUCCCGGUGUAGCGGUGAAAUGUGUAGAGAUCGGGAGGAACACCGGUGGCGAAGGCGGUCUUCUGGACGGUGACUGACGCUGAGGCGCGAAAGCGUGGGGAGCAAACGGG
rnacentral:rRNA from 1 species